GCAGUGACAGAACGGGGUAAGGGGUGAGGGGCAAGAAAAGGUUUCCUUGACAACAUUUAAUUUGCCCAGGAUUAGAAAGGGCUGGUUUACUGCUAGAUUCUUUUCUCUACAACUGCUGCCUCUGAAGAGACAACUAAAAUAGGGAGGAUGACAUUUCUUGAGUUUCUGAUUAAUUAGAGGAACACUUAUUGAAGAGCUUCUCUGGGCCCGGUACUGUGCUAAGAACACAUGCAGCUUAUAUGUAGCCUAGCGGGGGGUGGCAGAAAAUAUACAAAAUGUAAAGUACUAUGAUGUUUUCAGACAGUAUGAAGUAACGAAAGAGGUGGCAGAGUAGGUGGUCAGGAAGGACCUUACAGGUACAGAGGCCCAGGUGGUGAGGAGCUUGCUGCAGUGUCUACCUAGAGGAAAGGUGUGUUCAAAGGCCCUGAGGCAGAAACAACAUCCUUGGCUUGUCUGAUCACAGAGAAAGGUGUUGAUCCUUAAUGAAUAUCGUGCCCCUCAAAGUCUGUGUCAGAACCAGCUCCUGGAGGACCCGACCUUCGACAGCAGAGAAACAGGAAGGCCUCGUGUCACCUGUGAGGUGUCUCCUCAGACAUGGAGGCAGUGAGGGUCGUUGGAACCUGAUGAGGAUGGACUCCACGUCCAGUGAGACAGUCUCCUGGCACUUGGAUUAUUAUUGAAAAUACAUUAUACAUUGGAAAACUUCAAAUCCAUACUUCAAUAAACUACAAGCCUGAUUAUAUUUGCAAAACUGCCCUGAGGUCCUACUCUACAUUUCAACAAGGCAUACCUUCCAAAUAGCCUGAAGUGCAAGUUCAAAGGUAGAAGUAUUCGAGUCCACGGGGUGCUGUGCCCAAAUGUAGCAGCACAGAGAGAGUUGGCUCCCUAGCCUGCUGCCCAUCUGCUGCGUUCUCCUACCCCUAGCUGAUGGAUACCCCAGUGUGCAUAUCCAAGCUUCAAACAGAGCUCACACAAAUACCUGCCCCUUUUCAUCACUUUGCCCUAGGGCUGCAAGGCUCACGUGGGUCCUAAAUGGACUUGAGGCAGUUUAGGCAUGGAUUCCAGGGCUCUGGAUUCCCAAAACAGUCAAUGCAAAGGGCACACUGAGUAGAAUGAGAGUGCAGCUGGAGGAGGGCCAGAACGUGACACCCGGGGUAGGGGUCCCUGUCGCCGAAGAUGCAACGCCAGCUAUCAUGCCAGGAAAAGCUAUUACUCUGGCUAUAUCUGGGUAAUUACAAGGCUACUUGAAUGUGUUAAAGAAUAGAGAAGGAGCCUUAUACUCAAACAGUUCACUGCACACAAAACCAAAAGAGAUCAGAAUAUCCUUUGUCCUACUCGGGAAAGAGGAAAACAAAACAAAAAAAGAUCACAAUAGCACAAGAAAUCAUAAAUAACUUAUCUUAUUUCUGAAUUUAAAGCUGCUUACUCUUCCCUGCCUCCCCAUCCCGCUUCCCUACCCUCGAAAAAAAUCAGCAAAUGUUUCACUCUUAAAGGUUGAGUAGACUAUCGAUACCAAUUUUGUGGCUUUGUUCUACAAGAUUUCUAUUUCUUCUCAGGAAACAAAACAAAACAAAUUAUCAAAAUAUGUGAAAACAAUUCAGGUUGAACGUGUGCUAUACUGUUCUCUCCUGGGCUCCUUAAUAGGCAUGUCUGUGUACAACCCAGACCCUCAGAUCUUGCACAACUGAUUCUCUACAUGAAGCUGUAAUUUCCUACUCUCUGACCUCAAUCUCCACUGCCGAAAUUGAAGAGUAUGACACCAAUGAGAUGAAAAAAAAAAAAAGGCAUAGGAA